GACGAACGCUGGCGGCGUGCCUAAUACAUGCAAGUAGAACGCUGAAGAGAGGAGCUUGCUCUUCUUGGAUGAGUUGCGAACGGGUGAGUAACGCGUAGGUAACCUGCCUUGUAGCGGGGAUAACUAUUGGAAACGAUAGCUAAUACCGCAUAACAAUGGAUGACACAUGUCAUUUAUUUGAAAGGGGCAAUUGCUUCACUACAAGAUGGACCUGCGUUGUAUUAGCUAGUAGGUGAGGUAAUGGCUCACCUAGGCGACGAUACAUAGCCGACCUGAGAGGGUGAUCGGCCACACUGGGAAUGAGACACGGCCCAGACUCCUACGGGAGGCAGCAGUAGGGAAUCUUCGGCAAUGGGGGCAAACCUGACCGAGCAACGCCGCGGGAGUGAAGAAGGUUUUCGGAUCGUAAAGUUCUGUUGUAAGUCAAGAACGGGUGUGAGAGUGGAAAGUUCACACUGUGACGGUAGCUUACCAGAAAGGGACGGCUAACUACGUG
rnacentral:rRNA from 1 species